AGCUUUGUGCAGUGGCAGUAUUGUAGCCAAAGAGGUUUAUCUGAGGUGUGAUUAUUGCUAAUUGAAAACUUUUCCUCAUGAAUGAACUUCCAUUCACAAUUGCCUCAAAGAGAAUAAAAUACUUAGAACUACAAACUCAUGGUGAUGUA
rnacentral:snRNA from 1 species